rnacentral:misc_RNA from 1 species
GCAAACUUGGUCAUUUAGAGGAAGUAAAAGUCGUAACAAGGUUUCCGUAGGUGAACCUGCGGAAGGAUCAUUAACAAAUCCCGUGAUGCUGUGCUUGGCGCGUGGUCUGUGCAUGCAGCCGCCGUCCAAUCGCAGCGCACAUCCGUUCCGUGCCGUUCACUCUGCACGCGACACAUUUCUGCGCAUGUCUGAUUUUCACUUGCGAACGAGCGAUCAACUUUUAACAAUGGAUCUCUAGGCUCCUGCAUCGAUGAAGAACGCAGC